UACGUAGGGUGCAAGCGUUGUCCGGAAUUAUUGGGCGUAAAGAGCGUGUAGGCGGCCCGAUUAGUCCGCUGUGAAAGUCCAGGGCUCAACCCUGGAAUGCCGGUGGAUACUGUCGGGCUAGAAUCCGGAAGGGGCGAGUGGAAUUCCUGGUGUAGCGGUGAAAUGCGCAGAUAUCAGGAGGAACACCAAUGGCGAAGGCAGCUCGCUGGGACGUGACUGACGCUGAGACGCGAAAGCGUGGGGAGCAAACAGG
rnacentral:rRNA from 1 species